UACGUAGGGUGCAAGCGUUGUCCGGAAUUAUUGGGCGUAAAGAGCGUGUAGGCGGCCCGAUUAGUCCGCUGUGAAAGUCCAGGGCUCAACCCUGGAAUGCCGGUGGAUACUGUCGGGCUAGAGUCCGGAAGGGGCGAGUGGAAUUCCUGGUGUAGCGGUGAAAUGCGCAGAUAUCAGGAGGAACACCAUGCGAAGGCAGCUCUCUGGGACGGUACUGACGCUGAGACGCGAAAGCGUGGGGAGCGAACAGG
rnacentral:rRNA from 1 species